GGGUGCUUAGCUCAGCGGUAGAGCGUCUCCUUACACGGAGAGGGUCGGGGGUUCGAACCCUCAGCACCCACCA
rnacentral:tRNA from 1 species